ACCCAUAUGACUGCAGAAGAGUCCAAAAGAGACUUCGACUUUGCAGGAAUCUUCCUAUUUUUUAAAAAAUAUGAUGAACAUUGAUUAAUGCUGGGUACCUGUGUAUUUUUAUUUUCAUCUAUGGUUUUUACUGCAUGGGUGUCUUCAAAUUAAAAAAAAAAAAAAAUUAACCCCCCUCUCUGCCCCCAAAGCAGAACUGCAUACCUGCUAUAACAUACUAAUAUAUAGGAACAAGAACCCAAUUCUGCUAAAUCACCUGGCUCCUAAAGAUUUUAUGACUUGGAAUAACUGAAUCUCACUGUCUCGUCCCAACAUGACCCCAAAGAGAAUGACUUGACGGGUUAAAUGUAUGUUUGGGCUCUAAAGUUGUACAGAUCUAGAUUCAGAACAAGGUUUGCCACAGAAUCACUGUGUGACUUUGGACAGGGGAAAAGUAAAUCUAAGUAGAUGUUCUCAUGUUUCCCCACUUCACGCUAGUACACUACCUCAGUGUGCUGUGCUAGGGGAGAAUCUGCCUGGACUGCGCACUGGAGGAGUUUAAGGUCUUGGAGCCUACGUCAGGUGGAACAUGCCCAACUUACUGGUCACCAUUAUAAUCUCACCAGGAUACCAUAUGGUAUUACCUAUCCAAAAAAAAAGAAAAGAAUUAAAGAAUAAAGGCAAUGCAAAACGUUGGAGAGCCAAUCUGAAAUCAAUUGACAGGCAUGAACAUUUGUUAAUAACAUGAGUAUAAGCAGAUGGAGAAGGAAUUGUACUGAACAUUCUCCAAAUAUAGAAACAAUCUACUGGAGAAAGUCAGACAAACAUGGUAAAGGCGUUAAUGUUACAGUGUAUGAAUUAAACUUCAAUUUUAAAAUAGAAUGAAUUUUUGAGAAAUUAAUGGCGAUGACACAUUCAUACCAUGGGAUACUACUCAGCAAGAGAAAAAAACGGAAGUAUUGAUACACAAGUUGGAUGAAUCAUUAAGACAUUGUGCUAAUUGAAAAAAGCUGAUCUCAAGAGGUUACAUGCUGCUUCACCCCAGAUAGCCCUAGAAAAAGCCACAGGUUCUACAGCAAAAUAAACUGAUGGUUCCAAUUAUCCUUCCACUGAGGAAGAAACAACCCUGAGGAGAAGGCUAUAUAAAGCACUUCCUGGUUUAAAGGGGUCAACGUCUUGGACUUGAAUCCCAACUCUGAAAUGUAUCAGCUGUGCAACCUUCAUCUUAGACUAUGCUCCAUCUCAUCAAAGAGACUUCUGGUGUGUUUAACAAAAAGGAAAAACAGUGAAAAGAGGAGGUAACCCCAUUCUAUUUCUCUCUCGGUGACAAAUUGCUGGGAUCUAUGAUUAUUUGAAGAUUCUAAAGAUAGAGCACUGAUGACCCAAAAGCUCUUCUCAAAUUUCAUUUAUUCUAAUAGCUUCUGAAAAACCACUCCCAGGAGUUUUAACUCUUAUUGUAAAGGUAGGAAGUUUAUGCAAUUUAUAGUAGUGCAUUGUAUUUUGUCACAUUGACUUUAUCUCACAAGAGCCUGUUUGUGUCUACUCUGCUUUGGUCAUGAGAAAUGCAUUAUCCAAUUACUUAUGUAGUCUCUUUGCUACUAUGGAAAUAGGCAAUUCAAUUCAUUGGUUAAGUCACUAAAACGGAUGUCAUUGGAUCUCUGUUAAGUCUGACUAAGAUGCAUAACUCUGAAUAAUGCUUUGAUGUGUACUUCCUUCUAUGACUUAGGAAUUUACCUGUUGUUGAAUUGGCACUGAUGAAUUUUAGUACAUGAUUAUGCAAUUCCCCUAAGGCUUGUAAAUAAAACUACUCAAUAUAUCCAU
ensembl:lncRNA